UACGUAGGGUGCAAGCGUUGUCCGGAAUUAUUGGGCGUAAAGAGCUCGUAGGCGGUCUGUCGCGUCGGCUGUGAAAACCUGGGGCUCAACCCCGGGCCUGCAGUCGAUACGGGCAGACUAGAGUGCGGUAGGGGAGACUGGAAUUCCUGGUGUAGCGGUGAAAUGCGCAGAUAUCAGGAGGAACACCGGUGGCGAAGGCGGGUCUCUGGGCCGUAACUGACGCUGAGGAGCGAAAGCGUGGGGAGCGAACAGG
rnacentral:rRNA from 1 species